ensembl:lncRNA
CAGAGGUUAGAGUACGUAUUUACCACCUUUGGCUUUUUGGUUGUGUGCAUGAGUUUACCUUGCCUGGGAUACUGAACCAAAGUUGUUAUAUCAAUCCUUGUUACAUUGUGUGCUGGAUAUUAAUGGAAAUAUGUGUAGAAUAUAGGUCUAAGUCUCUGUCACCAUGGCACCCAUGCAUAUUAUGGCUUAAGUUUGUGAUGUGCAAAUGUUAUUUUUAUUUUUAUAUCACACAAGGGAAUCGGCGCACAAGACUGAACAGAGAAGUGUUAGCACAAUGAUCUAUUUUGGGAGAAUGGAAAAUGCAGAAAAAAAAUUACGUUGACUGUCAAAAUGGGCUCAACAUAAUGUUGUACGGGAAGAAAAUGGAAUCUAAAGUUAAAUGUCGAGCCAGUUAAAGACCCGAUGGGAAGUGAUGGUUGCUAUGGCAGAGGAGGUCAGAAGGCCAAUGAGGGAGAGCUUGGUUGGUUGCAGUGAGCGAGCGGAGAGCGGAGGGCUGCUGAAAGAAUGCUGGCUAGAGGUCAGUUCUGGGUUGACUUAAUGUUCGUUCCAUUGCGCAGGGCUAACUCCAUCAAGCCCAGCUGAAGUGUUUGAAAUUGUAAAUAUUAUUUGAACCCGGGACUGCAAAGGUGAGAUGGAGAUGUAGAAAGCAUCGGGGUUGGUAACGUUUCGAAACUGAGGGCGGCAGAACGGCGGGAUGCCUUUUCUAAUGUCGUUGAGACUAAAUGAACAGCAUGUUGGUACUGGGCAGGUUGGUGGUCACUGUGGGUGGGAGUUACAGGGACAUUCCUAACUCUAACGCACGUUGUUGUCUCGUUGUUGUCCUGAACAGCACAGGAAUGCUACAGCGUACACCUGGGAGGGAUUUCUAUGAAAUGGACUUCAUUUGUUAACACUGUCUCCAUUUGUCUUCUGAAACGUGUGUUCACAGGCAUCACACCACCAGAAAGGGAUAUCUGAUGUGUAGUAAGAUAACUAAUUGGGUUUAUUGCUUCUGUGUGUUUGCUGCUUAAUUUACCACCUGUUUUAUUUCACGUAGCCAAUGAAUAUGAUUAGUCUAGCUCUCUGUUAUUUCUCCUCAUAGAGUGGGCACAUCAGACCUGCUUGUGUUUUAGUGAAAGACUCCCAUUCUUGUCAUGCCAUAGUACUUGCAUUUUAAGUGAUCAUUUUAUUUUUAUGUUAUUAUUGAACUUUUUACAUGGCUGUAGUAGGUAUAUACCAUAUUGUGCUAUUUUGAAGAUUGUUGCAAUAAUUCUUGUGUACGUUUUUAUCCGUGCAAGUGUUUUUAUGAUUUGUUAUUAGGCCUCAUUUCUAUUUUGAUUUGGAACCGUGAGUUGCUGUACAGUUAUUUCAGGUGAUCCUAGGAAGGUGUGUGUAGCUGUGUAAAGUGUUCAGGCACUGUUAAUAAUAAUAAGGUGGAAAGGCUAGACGCGACUACGUGGGAGCUCUUGUAGGCAGGUAGCUCAUCCGGGUGCGUUUCAGGCCCAGGUUGGCUCCCCACACCGAACCUGAAAUGCCCUUUUGGUACUUUACCAAAAAGCCACGCGCUCCCUCCAGCCGGCUCCACCAUGCAAACCUUGGGUUCCUGGCAGACAAAGAUGUGAUGCGUCUUAUGUACAGUAUACUUGGCUGGUUACAUAAUGCUUCUUUCGGUUCUGUGCUCUAUUUCCCUUUGUUCAAUGCGUCCUGUGGGCCUAGCACACCAAUAAGGGAGAUGCUUUUCCACACAAGAGUUUGGCCCCUUUAAAAAGAGGCAGACUACUGAAACAUUCCAAUGCAGAGGGAAUCUGACAUCGAUUCUACACCCCUUAUAGCUCUGUGAUGAUGGGACUGCUUUUUCCUUUGGGGACUUUUCUUUCUUCCCGCCAAAGAAAUUAAACACGUUGGUAAAGUGCAGUACGAACCCAAACGAUCCCCAUGUGGUCUGGCAAUAACUUAUUGUACUUUUACAGCUCUUUAAUUGUGCUUUGAGUACUGUUGAAGGAUUCUAAGUGAGUUUUUGUGUGUAAGCUGUGCAGAUAUAGUACUUUCAAAAGACAUACAUUAUGUAUGCACAACACAUACACAUGAAUAAUUAAAAUUGCCACAGUAUCUGCUUGUGGUCAUGCUAUUUUCAGGAUUUUACUGCCAACUGCAGUCCACCAUUCUGAAAACCAUAUAAUUUGAAAAAACAAUAAUCUUUAUUUAUCACAUUUUGCCCCCUCAAUGUUACAGUUGAAUCUCAAAUUUCUCUUCAACCUAUUUUGUGUUUUUUUUUAUUUUUACAGUGUUAAAGUUAGAUUUUAGCUUAAUUCUUGUUGUGAACAAGUUAAGAAAAAAAAAACAUCUUAUAGGUUAGUGUGCCAUGGAAUUACCCAUAGAGUUAAAGGAAUUAAAAGAGUACCAAUAAUACCUUUAAAAUAUAGGUCACUAGCACAAAAUGAAUGUAAUCUGUGACCUGCUUCAUCUGAAAUGCUUUAGAUAUUUCUGCUUGAGCGAUCAUUAGUUAAAGUAAUAAUGAUUUAAUUUAUACACAAAUUGGUGCCAUGCAAGAUGCAAUAAGUUUGUGAUUUCAUCACAACUUGACUCAACA